AAGCUGGCGGCGUGCCUAUAAUGCGAGUCGAGCGGGCGAGGAGGGGAACUCUCUCGUCAGCGGCGGACGGGUGAGGAACACGUGAGUGACCUAGCCGGGGGCGGGGGAUAUCGGGCCGAAAGGCGCGGCAAUCCCGCAUACGCCCUGGUAGCGACGGCGCCAGGGGAAAGCGCGGCAGCGCACCCCCGGGGGGGCUCACGGCCCAUUAGCUAGUUGGGGGGGUAACGGCCUCCCAAGGCGACGAUGGGUAGCCGGCCUGAGAGGAUGGACGGCCACACUGGGACUGAGACACGGCCCAGACUCCUACGGGAGGCAGCAGUAGGGAAUCUUCCACAAUGGGCGCAAGCCUGAUGGAGCAACGCCGCGUGAGCGAAGACGGCCUUCGGGUUGUAAAGCUCUGUCGGUCGGGACGAGGACCCGCGGGGGGCCGCGGGGGGGCCGGUACCGGCCGAGGAAGCCCCUGCAAACUACGUGCCAGCAGCCGCGAGAAG
rnacentral:rRNA from 1 species